rnacentral:rRNA from 1 species
GGGUGAUGAUACGUAGCCGAACUGAGAGGUUGAUCGGCCACAUUGGGACUGAGACACGGCCCAAACUCCUACGGGAGGCAGCAGUAGGGAAUCUUCCACAAUGGACGAAAGUCUGAUGGAGCAACGCCGCGUGAAUGAAGAAGGCCUUCGGGUCGUAAAAUUCUGUUGUCAGAGAAGAACGUGCGUGAGAGUAACUGUUCACGUAUUGACGGUAUCUGACCAGAAAGCCACGGCUAACUACGUGCCAGCAGCCGCGGUAAUACGUAGGUGGCGAGCGUUGUCCGGAUUUAUUGGGCGUAAAGGGAACGCAGGCGGUCUUUUAAGUCUGAUGUGAAAGCCUUCGGCUUAACCGAAGUAGUGCAUUGGAAACUGGAAGACUUGAGUGCAGAAGAGGAGAGUGGAACUCCAUGUGUAGCGGUGAAAUGCGUAGAUAUAUGGAAGAACACCAGUGGCGAAAGCGGCUCUCUGGUCUGUAACUGACGCUGAGGUUCGAAAGCGUGGGUAGCAAACAGGAUUAGAUACCCUGGUAGUCCACGCCGUAAACGAUGAGUGCUAAGUGUUGGAGGGUUUCCGCCCUUCAGUGCUGCAGCUAACGCAUUAAGCACUCCGCCUGGGGAGUACGGUCGCAAGACUGAAACUCAAAGGAAUUGACGGGGGCCCGCACAAGCGGUGGAGCAUGUGGUUUAAUUCGAAGCAACGCGAAGAACCUUACCAGGUCUUGACAUCUUCUGACAAUUCCAGAGAUGGAACGUUCCCUUCGGGGACAGAAUGACAGGUGGUGCAUGGUUGUCGUCAGCUCGUGUCGUGAGAUGUUGGGUUAAGUCCCGCAACGAGCGCAACCCUUAUUGUCAGAUGCCAUCAUUAAGUUGGGCACUCUGGCGAGACUGCCGGUGACAAACCGGAGGAAGGUGGGGAUGACGUCAAAUCAUCAUGCCCCUUAUGACCUGGGCUACACACGUGCUACAAUGGACGGUACAACGAGUCGCUAACUCGCGAGGGCAAGCUAAUCUCUUAAAGCCGUUCUCAGUUCGGAUUGCAGGCUGCAACUCGCCUGCAUGAAGUCGGAAUCGCUAGUAAUCGCGAAUCAGCAUGUCGCGGUGAAUACGUUCCCGGGCCUUGUACACACCGCCCGUCACACCAUGAGAGUUUGUAACACCCAAAGUCGGUGGGGUAACCUUUUGGAGCCAGCCGCCUAAGGUGGGACAGAUGAUUGGGGUGAAGUCGUAACAAGGUA